UCCAGGGUGGGAGGAUCCACUUCCAAAACGUCUCACUCACAUGACUAUUGGCAGAAAGCCUCAGUUCCUUGAAAAUGUGGACUUCUCUGCAGGCCUUCUGGAGUGUCCUCCUGACAGCAACUGGCCUUUCCCAGAGAGAGUGAUCCAACAGAGAGAGCAAGUAGGAUAUAGCUGCGCCUUUCAUGACAGCCUCAGAAGCCACAAAUCACCGUGUCUGCUAUGUUUUAUUCAUCAGAAGUGAGUCGCUGAGUCCAACCAUAUUCACAGGGAGGCAAAGUAAGCUCUACCUCUUAAAGGAAAGGAGUAUCCAAGAAUUUGUGGAUAUAUUUUAAAACGGCCACAGACCUCAGAUGGACAGAAUUCAACUCAUCACAUUUCUUGGUUCUUGACACGCUCUCCUCGUUAGUCCAUCACAUAUUGCACGGAUUCAUUCAUAUCGCUGCAUGUAGGCUGCUUUGACCUGCUGUAGAAUAUCUCAUUGUGUGGAUGCACAUGUGGAUCACUGAGUAUGUCAGAGCUGGCAAGAUACGUCAGAAGAGAAAGGAGAAACUCUUAACUAAAUAGAGUUGGAAAUAAAAUAAUUGUCUGUAUGGAAUAAGAUCAAAGGUCCCACAUGUUAAAGUCAACCCCAGAUGAAUUAAAGUCUUACAUGUCAAAAAAAAUUGAAACUUUUAGAAGAAAAUUAAGGUGGAUAUAUUUUAGACCUUAAGGUAGAGAAAGAUUUCUUAAAGAAGACACUUACAGGAUUGAUUACAAACAAAAAGACUGGUACAUUUGAAUGUAUUAUGUUAAGAACUUUUCCACCAAAAGAAAGCCUCGAUUUCCUCAUUUUUAAGAUGAGGAUAAUAAUCCCUACCUUAUAGAAUUCUAAUAAGAUGAAAUGAAGCAACAUAUACAAAAUACUUAGCACAGAUCCUAACACCUACAAAAUAAUAAAUGGUAACGAUUAUUAUUCUUCUCAAACAACAAUCCUAUUAUUUAUCAAAUAAUACUGAGUAAUAUGACAAGACAUAUUUAAACCACACAAGCCAUAUGCAGACAAGUGUUUAAUAUCAUAGUGAUAGUUUCAAGAGAGAGAUAAUAAUUUAUUCUACAUUUAUCAGAGGUCUAUAGCCCAGUAGUCAAUAAAUACUUAUCUAUAGUCAAUAAGUACUAUCAAGCAUCCAUGCCAGGAACCAUGCUAGGGGCUGAUUAAUUUACAUCAAUCACCAUGACUUUUUUCCCACAAACUAACACACACACAAUCUUCAUAGAUUUUUCUGUGAUCACAGCAAGGAAAAGACCUACGCAUGUUUGGAUCAUCUGUGUACAGUCCUACAGAAGAACUUUGACACUAUCAGAGACAGAAAUCUCAGAAUAGUCCAACUCUCACUUAUUUGUGCUAAUGAAAGAGUAAAGUAAAAGAGACAAUUAAAAUGGGAAAUGUGUUUUGUUUUGUUUUGGUGUUUUGUUUUACAAGUAUGCAAAAACCUCAAAUCAACCUGACCCAACAAUAAGGAAGCAAGUCAGAAAAAGGCAGUCUUCCAGAGCUGUUUGUUCAGCAGCUCAGUAAUGCCAUGAAGGUUUGCUUCCUUUCUCUGCUUUGUGUUUCUGGAGAGAGUCCGCAUACAUUUCAAUAUGGCUGACAGCAGUUCUGGAAUGUAUAAAGCCUUGCAUAAAGAAAAUGACAGUUCACUAUGAAAAUCUGAUUCGGAUGAUGUUGAAAAUAGAUUUAGUGUCUGCUCUGCCUCUCUGUUUUCUAGGACUUCACCACCUCACAGACUUUGUACACUCAUGGUUCACAACUUCCUCACUGUGUUUUCUUUAACGAGUAGAAGAUAAAUAAGCUUUAAGAAAUAGUAAAUUAUAUCAAAAUAGACUUUAUCAUAUAAUUUGCCUAAUUAUGUACCUUCAGUAAGUGUUUAUUGAACUCUGGGGUGUCAACAAUUUUUUAUUCAGCUCUCAUAAGUAAUAUUUGCUUAGAAAUCUACCCAUAAAUAGGAUAACAACUUUCAUAAAACAAGAAUUUAUACCUAGCUAACAUGAAAAAGCUAAACAUCCCUUGAAGUACAAUUCUCCUGAAAAUCAUCCCAAUAUGGUUUAUUGAGGCUGAUGGAUUUGGACACCAGCUCUUAAGAAAAAAGAUAAAGAGGAAAGCUACUGCCUGCCACAACAUAUUCUUUUUCCCAAGAGCUGGCUUCAGAAGGUGAACCCAGAGAGCAGGCUGUUUCUGUCCAUGGGAAAGCAGGAUGGUACAGCCCAUAUCUGAUUCAGAAACCAACAGUCAAACCAUUCUCCCCUGAGACUAAAGCAGAGAAUGAAGCCAUUUCCCAGAAAUUUGGGUAUUUAAAAAAUCACCCUGGCCUGGGUUACAGGGUAAUUGUCCCAUAUCUAUGUUUCACCUGCAGAUUCAUGGGACAGAAUUAUUUCCCAAAUCUAGCUCCAUGCUCCUGCCCUGACUUAAGUCAGGGAAUACUUGGUAUGUAGUAGCAUUUAUUAUUUCACGUUCAAAAUAUCUCAAAGCCUUGAAAACUGUAACGUAUUAAACGGAAAUUUGGUAGGCAUUGCUUCGCACAAUCCCAUGAUGCCAGCUUGCUAGCAUGGAUAUGCCCAGGGCACCCUACCAGAUGCUGGACACAAAAGCUCAACAUGGUAGUUCUUCCCUGCAAGGGUUCACAGCCCAGUGGAGGAGAUCGUCAGGUGAGUAAAUCAUCCUACUGUACAGCCACGAUGUGCAGAGGACUCAGAGGAGGGAGUGAAACUGCCACUCCCAGGCCCAUGUCUCAGACCAACCCUUCCCCUCCAGCCAGUUGUGUAGACUGCACCUCUUCUCUCCCUCCUCAGUGAAUACAGGCUAAGGAACGCAGGCUUCUCUUACCCAGGUUCCCUGAACUGCUUUUUUUAGCCCAUCUCAUCUUCUUCUGGUUUUGUUCAAUUUUCUGCCAGCUUUUUUAUCCGGCUCACUUAUCUCCCUUUAUCCCUCAGAACCAUCUCCAGUAAUUCCAUUGACUGGCAGGACAUUUUUCCAUCAGAGAGUAGAGCUGAGCUGCUGCAGUGCCACGGCCACCUCCCAGCAACAACCCCUCCGACCCCAGCAGACCCACUACCUGGCUCUUUCGGUCAGUGGGGACUUUUCAGAUGGUAUCUCUUUUAUUUUAGCUUUUUAAUUUCUGGCUGCCAGGCUUUCUUUUCUUAACUACGUUUGGAGCAGCAUUUUGCACAUCACAGAAGCCAUGCCAGUUUUAAGGUGAGUUAGGAUUCUGCAGGGGAAUCCCAUUAUUUUGAUUCCCUCAUCAAAGCAGGGCUAAGUUUAACCCCUUGCAAAUAUGAAAAUGAAAAGGACAGAGGAGUGUAUUGUCAUGGAAAAGGCACCAAAUUAGUCACCAGGGAACUGGACACAGGUCCCGGCCCCACAACUGACUCUGCCAUGGGAUUUUAGGCAAGACACCUCACCUUUCUGACUCCAAAAUAGUAUGCCUGUUAGUCUUCCUCAUGAUGAAGUUGGAAGAAUCAAAUAUAUUGACUGCUAUAAACAUACCUCAUAAACUGUAAAGCACUGUUCAGUCAACUUAAAGACCCAUGCCAAACCUAGGGACACUGGGCAGCAUGUCCUUCUGAAUAAGCACAUAAGCUCCAUGAGAGCAA
rnacentral:lncRNA from 1 species